AUCUGGCAUAAAGCUGACCGGCCAUCUCCAGAAGGGUUUGGGCUAAGGAUUGCAGCUUCUCAGCUUUUUCUUCAGUGGGUGAGCAAACACCCUUUCUUCCAGAGGAACCCCAAGGGCUCUGUGGAAUCUUCCCAAGCUUCCCAGGAAAGCAGACAAAAUGAAAGGAACAGAGUGGAAAUUUAUUUACGCAACUACGAACCAACUUCUCCUGCCGUGCUGGACGCCGAACUCCAGAAGAGAGGCGAGGCAGCUCAUGGUGACGACACGGGAACAGCUCUGGGAGUUCGGAUGACACCUUCAGAGCUCCAGCUUUUACUUCUAAGCCAGAGGGGAACCUCUAAUGAGGUGUAUGUCAAAGUCCUCCAGACAAAGGUGUCCAAGGAAUUGUCUUCUGGGAUAAUGGAAACCUAGAUUAGUUCUUUUUCAUUUCAUUAUUUUUAUUCUCCACCAAAGAAGAAAUGGUCACCAUUUUUGUUACCUUCCGUUUUGAAGAUAUGUCAAUAUGCCUCACUAUCAAAAAUCUUACCCAUCAAAAUCUGAACUGAGGAAACGUCUUAUUUAAAGCAAAAUUUCUCACAAUCCAAAAGGAUGACUCCUGGCACAAAAGGAUUCAUCGCCGGUUUCUUUUAAAUACAAUAGUAAGUUUUUCAAUGUAACUAAAAUUACCUACUUAUAUUUUAAGAUUUACACAUGUGUUCUCAGAGUUUCACAUUUUAAAAUGUACAGUAGAUGCAUUUUUUUCCUAAGCAGAGAGAUUAUAAAUCUCACUAUGAGUUUUCUUCCCUUUAUAUUGUCAACCAUUGCAUUGUUACUAAUUGAUAUUUCAUAGAAAUCUUGUCCUAUACAAAAUAAGUAUUUCAAAUGUUUUUCUUUAAUCAUUUACUAUUUCACUUUUUGUAAUGAGGCACUUAUCUAACUAAAUAGCUAUUCAACAUCCACAAUGUUUCAGGUCCUUUAUCCAGCACAGUCAAUGACUAAUACCACAUUUAACUCCCUUCCUGUGACCUGACGAUUCCUUUCAACUAAAAUUCAAACUUCAGUCAAAACCCUUACCUGUAUCUCAAACAAAGUACAAAAC
rnacentral:lncRNA from 1 species